GAUGAACGCUGGCGGCGCGCCUAACACAUGCAAGUCGAACGGUUAAAGCACCUUUUAGGUGUGUAUAAAGUGGCGAACGGCUGAGUAACACGUGGGCAACCUGCCCUCCUCUUGGGGAUAGCCUCGGGAAACCGAGGAUAAUACCCGAUACUUCAAUGUGGCCGCAUGACGACAUUGAGAAAGCUUUUGCGGAGAAGGAUGGGCCCGCGGCCUGUUAGCUUGUUGGUGGGGUAGAGGCCUACCAAGGCAAUGAUGGGUAGCUGGGUUGAGAGACCGACCAGCCAGAUUGGGACUGAGACACGGCCCAGACUCCUACGGGAGGCAGCAGGGGGGAAGCUUGCACAAUGGGCGAAAGCCUGAUGCAGCGACGCCGCGUGCGGGACGAAGGCCUUCGGGUUGUAAACCGCUUUCAGCAGGGACGAGGCGAUAAGUGACGGUACCUGCAGAAGAAGCCCCGGCUAACUACGUG
rnacentral:rRNA from 1 species